GGGGAUAUGGGGUGUGGGAUAUGGGAUGUGGGAUAUGGGGGUGUGGGGUCGGGGUGGGGGAUAUGGGGUGUGGGGUGGGGGAUAUGGGGUGUGGGAUAUGGGAGGUGGGAUACAGGAUAUAGGAUAUGGGAUAUAGGAUAUGGGGGUGGGAUGUGGGAGGAGGGGUAUAGGAUAUGGGAUGUGGGAUAUGGGGGGUGGGGUUGGGGUGGGGGAUAUGGGGUGUGGGAUAUGGGGUGUGGGAUAUGGGGGUGUGGGGUUGGGGUGGGGGAUAUGGGGUGUGGGGUGGGGGAUAUAGGAUGUGGGAUAUAGGAUAUGGGAUAUGGGGUGUGGGAUAUGGGGGGGUGGGGUUGGGGUGGGGGAUAUGGGAUGUGGGGUGGGGGAUAUGGGGUGUGGGAUAUGGGGGUGGGAUAUGGGAUGUAGGAUAAAGGAUAUGGGGGUGGGAGGUGGGAUAUGGGAUAUAGGAUAUGGGGGUGAGAUGUGGGAGGUGGGAUAUGGGAUAUAGGAUAUGGGGUGUGGGAUAUGGGGGUGUGGGGUUGGGGUGGGGGAUAUGGGGUGGGGGAUAUGGGGUGGAGGAUAUGGGAUAUGGGGUGUGGGAUAUGGGGGUGUGGGGUUGGGGUGGGGGAUAUGGGAAGUGGGAUAUAGGAUAUGGGAUAUGGGGUGUGGGAUAUGGGGUCUAUAGGAUAUAGGGGCUAUAGGAUAUAGGAUCCAUAGGAUAUAGGGGCUAUAGGGUCUAUAGGAAAUAGGGUCUGUAGGAAAUAAGGGCUAUAGGAUAUAGGGCUAUAGGAUAUAGGGCUAUAGGAUAUAGGGUCCAUAGGAUAUAGGGGCUAUAGGGAUAUAGGGCUAUAGGAUAUAGGGUCCAUAGGAUAUAGGGUCCAUAGGCUAUAGGGGCUAUAGGGUGUUUGGGGUCUAUAGGGCGCAUGGGGUCUCUGGGUGUGCCCACUCACCGCCGCUGUCCCCGUGGCUCCGCCCCCGCGCCCCCCGCCCGCCCCGCAUCCCCUCCAGGAGUUCCUUCACCGUGCGGGGGGGGGGCGGCGGCGCGCGCCCACCUGCGUGGGGAUGGGGGGGGGGGGGGGGGAGGGGGGACACGCGUGGGUGGGGGAACCCUCCGCUGUGACGUCACCGGGAUCCCCCCGCCUCCGCGCUGUGACGUCACGGGGAUGCCCUGCGGGGAUUCCCCCCCUCCCUCCUCCCACGGCCGCACGUGGGGAAACCCCCGCGGGGGGACCUUAAAGGGACAGAGCCCUCCUUAAAGUCUCUCUUAAAGGGCCAGCGGCCCAUUCCCCCCCCCUCCCUUAAAGGGCCAGCGCCCCAUUCCCAUCUCUCUUCAAGGGCCGGCGUCCCUUUCCCACCUCUCUUAAAGGGACAGCAUCCCCUCCCAGUUCCCUUAAAGGGCCAGCUCCGAAUUGCCAAGUCUCUUAAAGGACCAGCGUCCCAUUUCCAGCUCCAUCUCUCUUAAAGGGCCAGCACCCCGCUCAAGCCGCUCUUAAAGAGCCGGCCGCCCAUUCCCAACUCUCUUAAAGGGCCAGCGACCUCCUCCCUCCGCCCUUAAAGGGCCAGUACCCCCCCCCCAGCUCUCUUAAAGGGCCCGCAUUCCCCUUCCUGCUCUCUUAAAGGGCCACAGUCCCACUCCCCGCUCUCUUAAAGGGCCCGCGUACCUCUGUGGGGCCGCAUGUCUCCGUCGCGAGUUGCAAAUGGGGCCGGUGUGGCCCCGGGGGCCGUUAUAGCGGGGGGGAGGUGACACCGCAGUGACGGCGACAUUGGGGGGGGCGGGGUUAGGGGGUGCGGGGACAGCCGGGUUCCCCCGGGUGACGUCACGGGUGGGCCGCCCCCGCGUGAUGUCAGCGGAGCCUUUUGGAGAAGCGUGUCCCCCCUCCACGUGCCACCGCGGGGCGCGGGCCCUUUAAGGGCUUUCCCACGUCCCCCCCACCAGAGGGGCGCGGGCCCUUUAAGGGGGGGUGGGGAGGGGAGGGGAUCCCAGUGUGCAAUGGGGGGGAAUUGGGGGUCCUGGGGGGAUUCUGGGGGGCCGUGGAGGCACUCAGGGAUCUUUGGGGACAUCGGGGGUUCCCCCCCCCAGACCCCCAUUUCCCCCCCAAGACCCCCAUUCCCCCCCCCCGAGACCCC
ensembl:lncRNA